AAGUCGUAACAAGGUCUCCGUUGGUGAACCAGCGGAGGGAUCAUUACAGAGUUGCAAAACUCCCAACCAUUGUGAACCUACCUCACCGUUGCUUCGGCGGGUGGCCCGGGGCAACCCGCGCCGCGCCGGCCCCUCUAGAGGGGCCCGGCAAACUCGUCAGAAGACCGAAACUCUGAACCAUUUAGGCCUCUCUGAGUAACUUAUACAAUAAGUCAAAACUUUCAACAACGGAUCUCUUGGUUCUG
rnacentral:misc_RNA from 1 species